ensembl:lncRNA
CUUGGCUUGAGUCAGUUAGAAAAAGAGGAAGUUGGAGAUGGGCUUGAAUCAACUCAAAACAUUUCUUUAUUUUCCCUUUUCCGCUGUUCAGCAUUUUCACACACAUACACACACAGACGUGCUUAUACUGAUCAAGAUGCAAGAUGGUGCCAGUGUAUCUGUCAGCAUGCUGUCGUUCUUGUCUUUCCCGUGUAUUACAGUUUGUUGUAUCUGUUGUCUGUUCAUCUGGCAUCUGUGCUGUUUUUACUUUUCGUCGUGCCACACUGGUAUCGUAUAGACUCAGUGUUGACCUAUGAUCGUCAAGCUUUGCUCAACAUCAAAAGCUGUAUGGUAGCUCAUCUGGGAUUUGGUCCUGCUCUGCAUUCUCAUUGUCAAUCCUCAUCUUGCCAACCCGCAUCGGAGUGCGCUCGCUGGCUACCUUGCUGUGUUCCUCCUCUAAGGAAAGUGCCACAGGAAGAGAGGGAAUCAUGGUGGUGUUUGGAUUUCCUACACUCAUCUAAUUGCUCUGUUCCUCCACGAUUACGGAUUCGUCAUAGAGGAGUAGACUGUUUAAAUCUCUGCCAACUGGAAUGCGUUCAACCGGAUCUGGCCUCGUUACCUCAGUCUCCUCUGAAUAUGACCCUAGUUAAUGCUAGGUCUGUGUGCAACAAAAUGUUUAUUUGAUAUGACUUUUAUAGCAUGAGUUAUAGCAUGGGAGCAGCAGUGAGACAUCAAGAACCAUCCCUGAACAAAGGGCUACGUGACUGUAUUUAGCAUUCAGAAAGACAUCUGUCUCGCAAGCUCUACCACCUCAACAUUUGGGGUUACACCUGUAACAACAUCUGUACUGUGAGAACGGAAAGCGAUCACAUCAAAUGCUAUCCUUAAUUUACGUUGAGAAUGAAACUUCAUUUACAUUACAAACAGAAAACCUGGUUUGAAACACAGUAUAAAAUGUCUGUGCUGAUACUGUUCGGAGUUCACUUUGACGCCGACGAACCCAAAGUGCUUCAUGUACUUUGUCCCUUCCAUGCUGUAAUAAAGUUCUUUUUCUUUGAGAUCUUCGACAUCCUCUUCAUUUCUUCGGACAGUGGUGUUUUUUUUUCAGCAGUUAGUCUUUAUUUACAAAUGUCCUAGAAAGAUUUGCACU